AUGCCAGACUCCUACGGGAGGCAGCAGUGAGGAAUAUUGGUCAAUGGGCGCGAGCCUGAACCAGCCAAGUCGCGUGAGGGAUGACGGCCCUACGGGUUGUAAACCUCUUUUGUCGGGGAGCAAAUUCCGCCACGUGUGGCGGAGUCGAGAGUACCCGAAGAAAAAGCAUCGGCUAACUCCGUGCCAGCAGCCGCGGUAAUACGGAGGAUGCGCGCGUUAUCCGGAUUUAUUGGGUUUAAAGGGUGCGUAGGCGGUCGGAUAAGUUAGAGGUGAAAUCCCGAGGCUCAACUUCGGAAUUGCCUCUGAUACUGUUCGGCUAGAGAGUAGUUGCGGUAGGCGGAAUGUAUGGUGUAGCGGUGAAAUGCUUAGAGAUCAUACAGAACACCGAUUGCGAAGGCAGCUUACCAAGCUACUUCUGACGUUGAGGCACGAAAGCGUGGGGAGCAAACAGGAUUAGAUACCCUUGUAU
rnacentral:rRNA from 1 species